rnacentral:rRNA from 1 species
UUAGGAAUCUUCCACAAUGGGCGAAAGCCUGAUGGAGAGACGCCGCGUGAGGGAUGAAGGCCUUAGGGUUGUAAACCUCUAAAAGAGGGACGAUAAUGACGGUACCUCUUGAAUAGCACCGGCUAACUCCGUGCCAGCAGCCGCGGUAAUACGGAGGGUGCAAGCGGUAUCCGGAAUCACUGGGCGUAAAGGGCGCGUAGGCGGUCUGUUAAGUCCGAUGUUAAAUCCCGGGGCUCAACCCCGGAUAAGCGUUGGAUACUGGCAGGCUAGACGGUUGGAGAGGCGAGUGGAAUUACCAGUGUAGCGGUGGAAUGCGUAGAUACUGGUAGGAACACCCAUUGCGAAGGCAGCUCGCUGGACAACACGUGACGCUGAGGCGCGAAAGUGUGGGGAGCAAACC